rnacentral:rRNA from 1 species
AUACAGAGGGUGCGAGCGUUAAUCGGAAUUACUGGGCGUAAAGCGCGCGUAGGCGGCUUAUUAAGUCAGAUGUGAAAUCCCCGGGCUCAACCUGGGAACUGCAUCUGAUACUGGGUAGCUAGAGUUUUGGAGAGGGAAGUAGAAUUUCAGGUGUAGCGGUGAAAUGCAUAGAGAUCUGAAGGAAUACCAGUGGCGAAGGCGACUUCCUGGCCAAAAACUGACGCUGAGGUGCGAAAGCGUGGGUAGCAAACGGGAUUAGAAACCCUAGUAGUCC